UUUUCGGAUGGAAGCUUGUAAACUUAGUGGCGGACGGGUGAGUAACACGUGAGCAACCUGCCUAUCAGAGGGGGACAACAGUUGGAAACGACUGCUAAUACCGCAUGACGCAUAGGGGUCGCAUGAUCUUUAUGCCAAAGAUUUAUCGCUGAAAGAUGGCCUCGCGUCUGAUUAGCUAGUUGGUGAGGUAACGGCCCACCAAGGCGACGAUCAGUAGCCGGACUGAGAGGUUGACCGGCCACAUUGGGACUGAGAUACGGUCCAGACUCC
rnacentral:rRNA from 1 species